AUUGAACGCUGGCGGCAGGCCUAACACAUGCAAGUCGAACGAGUGGCGGACGGGUGAGUAAUGUCUGGGAAACUGCCCGAUGGAGGGGGAUAACUACUGGAAACGGUAGCUAAUACCGCAUACCAUCGGAUGUGCCCAGAUGGGAUUAGCUUGUUGGUGGGGUAACGGCUCACCACGGCGACGAUCCCUAGCUGGUCUGAGAGGAUGACCCGCCAAACUGAGACUGAGACACGGUCCAGAAGCCUACGGGAGGAAGGAGUGGGGAAUAUGGCACAAUGGGCGCAAGCCUGAUGCAGCCAUGCCGCGUGUAUGAAGAAGGCCGUCGUGUUGUAAAGUACUUUCAGCGGGGAGGCGUUACCCGCAGAAGAAGCACCGGCUAACUCCGUGCCAGCAGCCGCGGUAAUAC
rnacentral:rRNA from 1 species